AUCACUUCUCAGCCUUUUGGCUAAGAUCACGUAUAGCAUCUGUCCUUAUCAGUUUAAUACCUGAUAAGGACUUUAUAUUAAAUGGAUUUUGGGGCAUGGGAAUUGCACCUGGAGCUUGCUCCCUUUGCUUCAUAUAUCAUCCUGGUAUGAAAGUACCUCCAGGCAAUUACUUCAC
rnacentral:snRNA from 7 species